GCGUCAGUGGUGGAACGGUAGACACGCUACCUUGAGGGGGUAGUGCCCUAGUGGUGUGGAGGUUCAAAUCCUCUCUGACGCACCA
rnacentral:tRNA from 7 species